ensembl:lncRNA
CCAGAAAAUAGCAGGAAGAAGAGUGUAUAGCAAUGAAAAAAAAAAGAGAAAAUACAGAUACAAAACCGAGGAAAUAUCAGUGCUGUUUGUACAGUUCUAUUGUGAGUGUUAUUCUGAGGAGGCCAGGAAUGCUAGGCAGGGGGUCUGUGGUCUAUGGUUUGUUUUUCCAUCAAUACAUAUGUCUGACUUCGAGUAAAAGAUUAACGAGACAGCUAGCAAAUGUCCUAGGAGACAAAUGGAUAAAAUGCUGUUUGUACAUGUCAGAUCAGGGAGGGCUCAUUCUCAUCUCUCAUUCUCUGAAUGAAUCUGCAAGGAUGCACACCUGCACCAGGAAGAUUUCCUUGACGAGUGUGAGUCACAACCAUUUCCCUUAUACCACAAUGAGGAGGAAUGCUGAUAUGUGGGAACUGAUGAAGAAGCACAAGGGAACCAAUGUUCACCUCUUCAUCCCAACGAAAUCUGCUGGUGAAUCACAGGCUGCAAAAUACAACUGAGCAAGUUAAAUUCCACUUCCCUUGAACACGGAAGCAAGUAGUACAUUUUGUCACAUGGCCACAUCAGCAUAUUGCAACAACAAGCAGAGUCACCUGGUGAAACGACCCAUUCAGAGAUUUAGAGGGAAAAUUUCCUUAGGGCAGGUGGCACUGGACAUCUGGCAGCCCUCUAACUUUUGUUCUGAGAGUAAUACCUACGCUGGAGGGCAUCCUGCCAGGAGCUGCACCCACCUGAGACACGGCCAGCUCAAGAUGAAAGGGAACACAAAAUUCAACAGGACGGUUAUCUUUUACUGAUGUUCAGGACUGAGGUACCUGGGAACACAAUAGCUCCCCUUAGGUUUUGGUACUGUUUGGUAAUGUCAGGCAGCUAAGAAAGUUAACCAGGCCAGAGACAGGCUUCUAUAUGCUUUCUCCACAGGGAUUAAGAACUACUUGCCAAGUAUUCAGAUUGGGUAAUUGCUACCUGGAUUAGCAAAGGGUAUGCAGCCCAAAAAUAAAAUAAUUGCUGAGAGUUUCUGAUAGAUUGCAUCACUCCAUGCCAAAGUAUAUGGCAGAAUGAGAAUCAUCAACAUAUGAUGUAAGGAUACAAGACUGCUCAUAGUACAGACACCACAGCUGAACCCAUUGUGGCUGGCUGAAGGAGAAGAAAUAUUAACACUCACAUUCUGCUUAUAGGAAAGCAAUAAUCUGAUUCUGAACUCCAGAAGCAUUUGUGGAAUCCACAGACUGCCCAAAAUAAUAUUUCCUUUCUUAGAACACAGGGGACAAACAUUCAUCCUUGCUCAAAAACGUAAAUUUGACCAAAGCUAAUUUUACCCCAGUGUCAAACUAUGAGAUCAUUGUUCUAUCAGCAUACAAGUUUAGCAUCACAUACUUUGUGACCAAAUGCAACCUGGAGCAGAGCCUAUACUGUCCAUCAGGAGUGCUGCUCAGAGGAUAAAAACAUACAUCAUCCAUUGUAUUUGACUAAAUAGACCGAGUGAAACUCAAGUUUCUUCUAACAUAAAUGAUUAGGUGUUACAAAGAUAUACGGAAACAUCAGGUAUUCCGCAUAUUACAACAUGAUUAUAUGCAAGAGUGUAAGAUUCCUGAACUAUUUUAGUGGUCCUUUUCUUCUCUGUAUCCACACAGUAAUACAAUCAGGGGAAGAGAACAGAAAUUAUUCAAAUUUUCACUCCUUUCCCAUCAGCCAUGCAUACAGUGCUGACUCAGGAACAAACAUUAAAAAGCAAGAGUCAUGAGGGAACGUACAAAUCCAAUUGUACGUCUCCCAAGGGAAGUCAUUACAACAGUGUCAAACAGGCCUUAAGUAGGAGGAAUGAAUGAACAGGAAGGGGGGAUAUUUGGCAGGAUGGAAAAAAAAAGCACUGGUAGAGAAGGUCCCGAUAACAGCAAACUACAUCAACGUGCUCAGCACCCAAACUGCACUGCAAUCCUAAGGUUUUUAAGGAGGAAAGUGGUAGCGUGUAUCAAGCAUUCAUAAGGAAGACAUGAUAUAGAAAUAAAGGAGAGGCACAGCAUUAAAAUAUCCAGUGCAUGGCCCAGUUAUGUGUGCCAUUAGAAGAUUACACUCCUCGUUGUUUUGUUACGUUUACAACUAAAAUCAUUAAUUUUUGACAUAACUGCAAACAGACGAAAAACUAAAUCUCUAAAAAUGCAGGAAGACAGCAUUAUUAUUAGGGCUUAUUCAAACUACCAAACCUGGCCAUGGAUGAAAUAUUAAUUAAAGGUUGCAUUUGGAACCUUCAGAAAAAUGAUUAUUCAACACAGCAAUGAUGUUUUGCCCAAUUGUUUAAUAAAAUUUUAUCUUACUGUGCAGCCAAGCUUAGACCAAAAACGUUAGCGAAUAAAGGAUCACAGAGCUCUAAUGACAGGCUGAAACUGGGGAAAGACAUGUGUGUAUUAAUAUUUAGCUUCAGAAAAUAUGCAAAUUGCUUAAAUAUCACUGCUUUUGUCUUCCGUAAGAGAUAAUGGUUAAAUAGUCAACCUUAUUUCAAUGACGGGUAGAUCAUCAAAUUAGCACCUAAAUUAAGGAUCCAAUUAGUCUCUAAUAAAUAAUUUGUCAAUAAAAGCAAAACCAGUACGAUUUAAUCACAUACAGUUUUCUUGUGUUGUGUUUUUUUCCCUCUUAUUGCUACUAAGAAUAGGGGGUUUUAAUCAAUGCCCAAAUCGCUCCCUUAAACUAGGAGGUAUUCAAAAAUCAGAUCUUGAAGCAUGCCUCCUUCUCCUACGUAUGCAUAAAAUGCUUCUUUAUCUUUUGCAAAAAUAUCUCUUUUUCUUGAGGCAGGAACUACAAAUUCCACUCCUCCCAUUCACACUGAGGAGAACAUUACUCCCUAAACAGACUCACUUAGUCCAAAACAAACAGCAAGAUAUCUAAAAUAUCCCUUCGUUUACUAAGGGAGGGAGAGAGAGAGCACCUCCUCCUUGGGACGAGGGGGGGAGAGAGAGGGUGGAAUCAACAGGGCUGUAUUCUAACAGGGCUAUCUCGUCUUCAGGUACCACGAUCAAAUUUAUGAGCAUUUCCACAGGAAAAACAAAAUACAAAAAAAAAAAAAAAACAAAAACAAAAAAACAAACAAAAGAAAACAUAUCAGGAGGAUGCAAGGGCUGGCAUACAGCAGAACUGAUUCCCACAAGUUUGAAAACACUGAUAUUUUUCAUGAAAGAGUUGUUAAUCUUAUAAUAAAAAAUAGCUUUUUAAUGUGUUUGGUACCGAGAGACAGGGUUCCCCAGCACUGACCUCAGCAUGAACGGCCCUCCCUAGUAAUAGGGCUGUGGAAAUAUUGCUGGAGGCAGGUCUUGCACUGCUGUCUUUUGUCUCUGCUCUUAGUCCUUGCAGAGGGAUACUACCAGAAGCAGUGAAAGGCCAUAAAACUGAAUGCACCAUUUUAAAUCAAAAGGCUUUCAGUGGUUGUAUUAAAGGGGCUAUCUGUGUUCCCAGCAGUGGCUAGAGCAAGUACUCGGUGCAAACAUCUAUGCAGGUGCACGGUUUAAAAGAAAAAAGGACAUCCUCCUCCCCUUUAAGGGAUUAUAUUCUUGACUUUAUAUUCAUUAAGUCUGUUUGACUAAAGAAGGAGAAAAAAAAAGAGGGCAGAAGGGAAGAAGGAGGAGUGGGGUAAGACUAAGAAAAAAGAAUUGAUAGGAGAAAAGAAAGGGCAAAUAAAAAGCAGAGAAGGACAAUGAGAGGCGAUAUCUGACUUGGACAAGGGGUAAACCACAAACCUAGUCAUUGCCAGUGUCCUGGAACAAAAAUAACCAGUGGCAGGACAGCUGCUGGUGUCGUGGGACGGUGCCUCCUCCACCAGCUCAGCAUGGGGCAGAGCCCCAGUCCACUUUCAGAUCUGCCCCUUACACUGUGCUGUGUGACAAAACUCCGUGUUCUCUCAGUCCUUGUGGUUGUGGUUAGGAAACUGCUGCAUGUUGGGUCUCAAUAGAAAAAGUAUUUUAAUACAAGAAAAACAGGAAACUCAAGCACGUUUUGGGUCUAAUUCAAUUUCAGUUCCCCGAUUCCUUUAUUUUCUAUGGACAAAAGGCAUGUAACAAAAUUAUGAACUGGGACAUGAAGAAAGCAGAACUGUGCACAUGACAGAUAAAGCUGGCUCAUUAUGUGAAAACUGAAGCCGUGCAAAAUAUAAAUUCAGAGCAGAUUAAAACACCUCUCAUCCAAAAACCAGUUAGGACCACUCAAGCUAAUCCAGGCACCUGGACAGAGAUUGAGCAGAAUGUAUAGGAACUGGCACAGGUCGUGGUUUCAUAAGAGGAGAGCAGAUUAUUAAAACAAAAAAAAUGCAAAUAUUACUUCUUCAUUUUAAACUGAAAUCCACCUCUGACUUUGGAAUCUCCAGACAGAAGGUAUAGCGUAUCAGUUCAAUGUCAGCCUCCCCUUACUCUCUUUGCGAGACCAUCAGCGCAUUUUAGUGCUAAUGUACUAAAGCAUGACACUAGCUCAAGAUAACCACAUUCUAUUGAGAAACAUAACAAUAGAAAUAAUGGAAUAAGCACUUCAUGCAAUUUGCUAGGAAUGUAGUUUGGACACCAACAGCCAAAACAAACUAAAAUGGCAAAUGCGAGGACUCUAUUUUGAAAUGAUCUGCAAACAGACUCAGCAGCUUUACAGGGGGUCAUAUUUUCCACAAGGAUAAACUGUCCUUGAACAAUAUUUUCAAUGUUCUGGGUACUAAUGUGGUUUCUUUUCAUGCGGAUUGUUCUCACCUCGUCUCCUUUUCCUUGAACAAAUAUUUACAGUGACCAAUAAAAUUUUGCUCUCCCUUUAUGAGUUAAACAGCAUCACAUUCCCACACGCUGUUUUAUAUAUCCAUACAAAGAACGUACAUGCCCACAAAAAAUGACAUCUCUAAACUACUGCUGAUAUGAUUAUUUUUAAGUAAUCACAUUCAUUGUAGAUUUCAGUCCUGAUCCGUUGAUGCACUUAAUUCACUCUGGUAUUAGACUUGUGAUUGAGCAGAAUGAAAUAUUCAGCUCAAGAAAGGAGGUGACAUAUUUCACCACAGACAAAACAUUUCUGUGAGUAUGUGAAAGAGUGAUGCCCAAUGCAAUGCCCGUAGCAUGAGCGUAAACACAUCGUCUUCACAGGAACAACUGACAUGGUAAGAAAGUAAAUGAAAAUAUUUUUAGUGAAAUUAUUCCUGCAUGUGUUCAAGGGUUUUACCAGGUCAGAGUUUAAGUGGGCAAAUAACAGCCUGUGAGAUGCUAGCAAGCCAUUAGUGACAAAUGUGCCUCAGACUACUCUGCAUUAUUCAUUCGUUAUUCACAUAUUGAUACUUGCUGCUCAUCGCCUUCAAAGUUUCUGUGAAUGAGUCCUCACAUGUGAACUAGGAACAUCCAGCACAAACUAGGUUUUGAAAACAGAGUAAACAUGUCACGUAAAGGGGAUCACGUGAUUUCAUAUGAUCAUUCCUCAGUGCCAUUAAGGAAAGGCUCACCUUCCUCAGUUUGUGGGUCUGAGAUGGAAAGCAUCAUCUCAUGUUCUUUUCUAUUAUCAAUCUGAGCAGUCCUGCUCAGCACUAUGUACGGUGCCAGCCUGAGCCCUCAGACACCGCAUUGAAACCCCAGCUGAUAAAACAUCUAUCAACACUGCCUUCACCUUUCACACUGUUUCAGUUGCCUAAACAUAUAGAAAGGAAGGCAGAAAUGAAUUGAGAAACGACACAGGCAGCAUUCUCAUGUGAAGGAGGGCAGUGCAGCCACCUCUGGCCCAGGGACGGCCCAGUACCAACAGCCAUGUUCUGGCCAUGCCAGCAGGCCCAGAGGUGGCCCAGCCAGGCCACACGCACAGCACAGCCAUGCUGCCUGCAGCUGGAGGCCCCAUGGUUGCCAGUUUUGGUAUCUCUGCCCCAUGCUCUGGGCACACCCUCAGGUCACCGGGACCCAUUGGCAUUUCUGCUGUGUUUAUAUAGCUUUGGGGAAGUCAGGGACUGGGCUCCACAUGUGGGUCCUUUUUGCUGAAUUCCCCUCCAGGAGCACAGGGGCAAAGAGGAACACAUCUUUGGUGAACACCUGCAGCCAGCAGUUCCUUCCUCAGGCACUGAAAUAGAUUUUCCUCAGACUAAAGUAAAACAAGAUACCGACUGUUCCCCUUCAUACACCCCAAAAUAUAAACAGUGGUACUAACAAGAAAGAAGGUGAGAGUGAGACCAGGUUCCUCUGGAAGCAAAAGCACUAACGUCUACUCUGGGGUUAGGUUUAGCUUCCAAGUCACGACUGCUCUCUGGUGCCCCCAGAAGUGGCUAGGGCUUGGGCCAUGUAGUGUGUCAGGAGUCUCAUACACAGUAAGCUCAGACACACUCAUCUCUAAAUUUUUUUUCUUGUUGUUCCUAGUCUUAUGGAUCUUUUUCAAGUCUUCUUAUCUUCACAGCAGAGGCUCCAUGGCGACAGACCACCUGAGAUGGUGGAGCAUGGUGGAUGGUGCCUUGGUAGAAGAAGAUGGGUACACCCACAUGGAUUGUGUUAGUGCGUAUGGUCUCCCAAUAAAUUAGUACUAGACCUAACUUGAUUGAGGGCCUUGCUGAGCCUGCAGAUUGAAAUGAUGAACAUAGCUGUGCUUUAUUUCCUAAUCUAUAUUUAUACUGGCUGCGGACAAGCUUUGCUUUUAGUCAAGACAAGGUGAGAGCAGUGAUGUAGGCCUCAGGCCAAGCCCAGCACUGAGGGAAGUGCUGACUUCCCUGUGGGUGGAAGGAGGAAUAGUGCAGCAGCACAGGCACCUGGGCAGAGCAGAAAGGGUUGGGAAUUCCCUUUGAAAAAAGAGACAUCCGUCCAGCAAGAGCAAGGACUUGUUCAAUGGCCUGUGGCACCUGCACUGUACCAGGAAACCAACAAAAUACUGCUUAUCACAACGCUGAGCCCUGUGUAUCAAAUGCCAGGUGAAGCAUUAAGCUAUGAGAGAAUAUUCUCUACCACCAGCACCCUGAAAACAGCAGAAACUAUUGGCUUUGGCACUUUUACAAAACACAUGCCUGGGUUGCCUGGAAUAGAAAGAGCUUCAAAAUGCAUUUCUGCCAGAGGUGUUGGUGAGAGGGGCUGGAGAGAUGAUGCUGCUGGUCAGAAAAAAAAAGGGAUAUAAUCUCAUGUGCUGAGCUCAAAGAAAAUCCAGAUGGUUUCCUGUUAAUUUUGAGAGUGCAAAUUUCAGAUCCAUCGGGCCAAAAAGGGGAACUACAUGAGGUAGAGUCUUAUCACAACUUUAGGAGAUCUUGCUCAUUGGGUUGCUAGGUUGUAAGGUAUUUUUUACUUAGCAGCAAGUAUUUUAAAUACUAACACCUGUACAACAAACAAUUUGAUAUUUAAAAUUGUAUCCUCUGAAAGACUGACUAUUUGUGUCAUUUGAGCAAAUACCAUUUGUCAAAUACCAAAGAUCCUCACUUUUACUUUAGAAUCACAGAAUCAAUUGAGAUGGAAGGGACCUUUUAAGGCCAUCUAGACUAACUUCCCUGCAAUCAACAGGGACACCUACAGUGACAUCAGGUUGCACAAAGCCCUGUCCAGCCUGACCUUGAGCAUCUCCAGGGAUGGGGCAUCCCCCACAUCACUGGGCAACCUGUGCCAGUGCCUCACCACUCUCACUGUAAAAGACUAUUUCCUUAUAUCCAACUUAAAUCUAUCCUUUUAGUUUGAAACCAUUUUCCCUUGUCCUAUUAUCACUGAUCCUGCUAAAGAGUCCGUCCCCUUCUUUCUUGUAGCUCCCCUGUAGAUACUGAAAGGCCACUAUCAGGUCAACUCAGAGCCUUCUCUUCUCCAGGCUGAACCCCAGCUCUCUCAGCAUGUCCUCAUAGAAGAGGUGUUCCAUCCCUUGGGUCACUUUUGUGGCCCUCCUCUGGGCACGCUCCAACAAGUCUCUCCUGUACCAAGGACUCCACACUUGGAUGCAGUGUUCCAGGUGAAGUCUCAACAGCUCAGAGCAGGGGGCCAGGAUCACCCCACUCAACCUGUUGGCCAAACUUCUUUUGAUGUAGCCCAGGAUACAGUUGGCUUUCUGGGCUGCGAGGGCACAUCUUUGCUGAAACACUAGGAACUGAUGUGGAGUAUUUCAGACUUGAGCACUCCUUCUUCCCUGAGCAGGGAAACAACACAUCCACAAACAAGACAUUCUUACUCAGUGAUUUCUAUCAGUGGUGCUGAGCUGCACCAGGCGUCCAUUCCACUCCCUUGGCAGGGACACAGUGCUGUGCUCCCCAGUCAUGUCCCCUUCAUACCCUACCUAUAGGAACUGCACCUCCCAGCAAUGCCUGGGAUCAAUCCUGGCUCUUUAUGGUGACUAUAUUUCCAAACUUGUAAACAUAGAUUUACAGACAAAGCAUCUUUUCAUCUAUUAUUUGACCACUAACAAGCACGUACCAACAAAACCAUUGUAUGGGUCACACUAAUCUGUACGCCAUGCAUUAUAUACAAAGAAUAUCUCUCUUUAGUCCAUAAUCAAGACCUAGUGCUGGUUGUAUAGGCUCUUUGGAGAAGAGACAGCAGGCUGAGCUAGACAGCACUGGCAAGCAGCCAGUGUGCAGGUGAGAGAAGAAAGGGACCCCUACCUUAGUCUCUGCCCAGCAUCCCCAUAUGCCUGACCCCUUUCUGACUGUCUGAAUAAGAUGUCAUUGAUUUUCAUAAAAGAGAUGCUAUUGAGCAACCACUAGGAAGUCAUUAAGCAUUGUAAAUAACUAAAAUAGAGAUACUGUUGUCAAAAUACACUGAAUAAUUGCAAUUUGUAAUGCAUGAGCUUUGCUGUACUGUGUAUGUUAACUUACUAAAUUGCAAAAUUAAUUCAACCACAAAGGGUCUCCCAGUCAACCAUGCAAAUUAGCACAGUUCUGUUGUAAUGCUUUAUAUUUCAAUACUGCCUUUAAUCAGAGGAUCUUAAAAUAUAUUUGUGAUUCAUAAUUAAUAGCACAUAUUUUAUUUCCAUGAGAUAUGUAAGUAGGAUUUUAGCACACAUUGCCCUGCACUCAUCGCACUGUUCCACAUGAGUAACGCUGUUGAGUGAUAGCACGCAGUAGCAAUAAGCUCUGACUGUUGUCUCCUUUCUAGUUUACAAAUGUGCCAGUCAUGUGAACGCACAGAUACAUGUGUCUUCACUGUUAUACCUUCCCUCCUUGUGCAGCUACAGCAGACUCAAGUUGGUAGAAAGACACAAAGCUUGCAAGAGUCUUUUCUGAGAUGCCUUAUUCUUGCAGUUUUCCAGAGGGAUCCUCAAAAGGAGGAGCAGUAAGGUAGCUGACGUAAGCAUGUUGUGUACACACAUGGACACAUGAACUGCAAAUCAGUACACAUCACAUGCUGGCAACACAGAAUAUCUGAGAAGCAGACAGGUAAGACUGAAAUUUACCAUUUAAAAGCAACUGCAUAGCUAACUUGCCUUGCUAAUCACACAAAAGAUUAAUAACGGUGGAAGAGAUUUAAAAAUCCAAUUUAGUUUUAACCAGGUAUUCUUACUUAAAGGCUGGAAGGAAAGUAUUAUUUUACAGAUAGCGAUCAGAGACACCAAGAGACUCAUUUUCCCACAGUUACAUUGUAAGUCUGUGGCCACACUGGCAAUUGCAUCCAGUCAAAUCACUAUUAAUUCUGCUUACAACAUCAGUGCCUAAGGACUACUGAGAACGGAGCGCCUUCAGUCUCAGUAGGCUCUGUACACACCGAGCUGCAGCCAGCCCCUGCCUGGAGCUCUCACAGGCAAAACAAAGAGCGAUGGAGGCUGGAGGAAAUGCAGUAACCCAACAUGCAAACGUGUUCAACAGAAACAACCUGGAAACAGAACCUGGAAAGAGUUCCACUCUUGGUUUGUUUGUUUGUUUGUUUUUUUCCUGACAGGGAAAAGAGAGAAGGGAUUAAUAUGGAAAGAUGUAAGGAGACACAGGCUAGGAGAACUAAAGAUAAAACAGAAUAGACUUGGAGCACAUAGGAAGUGAAAGGGCUGUGGGGAGUGGGAAGAUGGAGCUGGAGCUCCAGUGAAAGAGGAUGGGGCGCAGAAAAUCCUCCAGAACUGCAGCAAGCUGUCACAGUAUCUAGCAGUCCCCAUUUCAGCAACUCUGGUAGCUGUUCCUCUCUGUGGUUCAGAGGAGGCACCGCUUGUGUCCUAACAUCCUCUGAACAAAAGAGCUCCCUGCACAACUCUGUGUGGAGGGAAGGGGGAGGGAUGGGCACUGGCCAGAGCCCAUCUACUUCCCCAUCUCCUCACAGCCAGCUCGGCCCGGCUGCCUCUGCAGCUGCUCUACCAGCUACAGCUCGGCCACAAUGCCGACCACAAGCCCACACUUCUUCUCUUGCUAGUUGGUACAAGGCUUGCAUAUCUCACACAACUGGCCUGUUGUGAGCACACCACCAAUGUGCUGAACGCUCCUGCUUCUAUUUCUCCACAUCCACACCAUUUCUCUUUCUGGGUCAGACAGGAAGAAAUACAUGCAAACAGAUAAGUGAGGAAGAGAGGAAAGAGGAGAUAUUCAUUUUUCUGGCUUAUCAUCUACAUGAGCGUUUAGGCUGGUAUGUGACAAAAUGAAAGCUGCUCCUAGUAAAUCCAACUGAAUUUGAAGGACAUGUUUCUACCUUUCUUUCUGUGAAAGCUCUCAAAAAAGUCCAGAAUGCCUAUAUCUACUACCAGAGGAUUACAUCACACACCCCUUUCCUGCAGGCAAAAGGAUACAUACGUACAGCACAUCGUGGUUUAUGAUAGCUAGAAUAGAAGACAAAGCCAGCGACACCGGCCUUCAUAUCUCUGUCCCCCACCAGAGGUCACAGAGUUCAAGGAGAUGGACAUACAACCAUUUCUUGUGGUAUCCUGCCAAUCCUCUGCCCCUGGGUCUAUUAUGAUUAAUGCUGAUCCACCACCUGGAGUCUGUGUUGGCUGUUCACACUGUUUUUCAUGGCGAGUAAGCAUGUGUAAUGGAUCUCCACCCACAUUUUUCAAGAGUUCUGGGACUGCUGGAAAGACAAGGUGAGGUUAAACUGGGCCCCAGACAGCACCAUGUAGCCAAGUACCCUAUGGAUCCAUUCUCUGCUGCAGGGCUUGCUGCAAAUGUUUCCUCUCCUUUGUCAGUGUAGUAGGAGCAGCAGCAAGGAAGGAGUUACAGCUGGGUCACUCAACUGUCAGCAGGUAAGAGAAGACAUUUUCUACUCCUUUGCCACACUGAAUGCUGUUCAGCAGCAAGUUUUCAGGAUCCUUCAAACAGUACGACACAGCUCACUGCCUCUUAAAAGGUG